rnacentral:lncRNA from 1 species
CGCGGGGUCGUCAUUGCGACUGCAAUUUUCGUCGCAUGCGACGGAAAUCGCACUUCUGGUGCGACGAAAAUCGCAUCAAGUGAAACAGGAUUUUGGCGUC